rnacentral:sRNA from 1 species
CCGCGCUGCCCUGGCUUGCCCCCGCAGCGGCUGUACAGCAUGGACCUGCGGAGCUCCCACAAGGCCAAGGGCAAGGAGAAGCUCUGCUUCUCCCUGACGUGCCCACUCGGCAGCGGGAGCCCUGAGGGGGUGGUCAAGGCGGGGGCACCUGAGCUGGUGGACAAGGGCCCCUUGGUGCCCACCCUGCCCUUCCCGCUCCGCAAGCCCCGAAAGGCCCACAAGUACCUGCGGCUCUCGCGAAAGAAGUUCCCGCCCCGCGGGCCCAACCUGGAGAGCCACAGCCAUCGACGGGAGCUCUUCCUGCAGGAGCCACCGGCCCCAGACGUCCUGCAGGCGGCCGGCGAGUGGGAGCCUGCUGCGCAGCCCCCUGAAGAGGAGGAUGCCGACCUGGCCGAGGGGCCCCCUCCCUGGACACCUGCGCUCCCCUCAAGUGAGGUGACCGUGACCGACAUCACCGCCAACUCCAUCACCGUCACCUUCCGCGAGGCCCAGGCAGCUGAGGGCUUCUUCCGAGACCGCAGUGGGAAGUUCUGAAUCACCGUUUUUACUUUUCUUAAACUGUUUUCUUUUGGGCUUGGGGUGGGACUUCCAGAGAUAGGAAUGGGUUGGGGGCGGGGUAAUUAUUUUAUUUAAAAAAAUACCGAGCAGCAAAAGGGGAGAAGAUCCCACUACUCUCCCACCACCUGCCCUUUCUCUGAGGGAUGUUUACCACGAGGCCUCAGGCUGGGGAUGGA